rnacentral:tRNA from 1 species
GCCAGAGUGGCGGAAUUGGUAGACGCAGCGGAUUCAAAAUCCGCCGGGGGUAACUCUGUGCCGGUUCAAGUCCGGCCUCUGGUA